CCGGUCGGUAUCACCGUUCUUCAUCGAAGGUAUCCAGUCGUCUAUACAGCCAUGCAAGCAAAGAUCUUUCUCUUCGCUUUUCUGCUCCUUGUGAGCGCCGUCCUCGUACACGGAAAAAAGGACCCGGCUUGCGACGAAACGCCUCUGGGCUAUUUUCGUGGAGACGCCGCGGAUUGGAAGUGGACUUUUAGUGGUGGAGAGUGCACAGAAGUACCCGUGAGUGGCCGUGCAUCUAACACCAGGAACGAAUUUGGCAAUGAGGCUGAGUGCAAGAAUAAAUGCCUUAGCUAAUACCACACCGGCACGCAGCUACGUGGGACGAGGGCAUGACGUGCGGUCAAGAAAACACCGCCACGGAGACCAAGAAAAAUAAAGAAGUUCUAAAGAUCAAAAA